UACGCAGGUGGCAAGCGUUGUUCGGAUUUACUGGGCGUACAGGGAGCGUAGGCGGUUGGAUAAGCCCUCCGUGAAAUCUCCAGGCUUAACCUGGAAAGUGCAGAGGGGACUGUUCAGCUAGAGGAUGGGAGAGGAGCGCGGAAUUCCCGGUGUAGCGGUGAAAUGCGUAGAGAUCGGGAGGAACACCAAAGGCGAAGGCAGUGUCCUGGGAAGUACCUGACGCUCAGGUGCGAAAGCCAGGGGAGCGAACGGG
rnacentral:rRNA from 1 species